rnacentral:rRNA from 1 species
AACGAACGCUGGCGGCAUGCCUAACACAUGCAAGUCGAACGAUGCUUUCGGGCAUCGUGGCGCACGGGUGCGUAACGCGUGGGAAUCUGCCCUUGGGUUCGGAAUACCAGUGAGAAAUUGCUGCUAAUACCGGAUGAUCUCUUCGGACCAAAGAUUUAUCGCCCAGGGAUGAGCCCGCGUAGGAUUAGCUAGCUGGUGGGGUAAUGGCCUACCAAGGCGACGAUCCUUAGCUGGUCUGAGAGGAUGAUCAGCCACACUGGGACUGAGACACGGCCCAGACUCCUACGGGAGGCAGCAGUGGGGAAUAUUAGACAAUGGGCGCAAGCCUGAUCCAGCAAUGCCGCGUGAGUGAUGAAGGCCUUAGGGUUGUAAAGCUCUUUUACCCGGGAUGAUAAUGACGGUACCGGGAGAAUAAGCUCCGGCUAACUCCGUG